CUGUGGCCUGAAGAGGAGGCACACUUGGUAGACUUCCCCCUGGUCCUCUGGCUCCGCACGCUCUCCCUGGAGGUGGGUGACAACCUGGUCUUUUCCAGUUUGCUCUCCCCUGUCCUCCCUCCCCAGGGCAGCAGGGGGCAGCACGGGGCAAGUCCAUGCUGCAGACCCCACCUUUCCUGCCGCGCUGUUCCCCCACCUGUGGCUGGCCCCGUGGAGGCCCCUCCAGCAACCUGCUUCAGCAGCAACCUCAGAAAUGCAGAACCUGGGGCCACACCACAGGCCAGCACAGCACAGAAACUGCUGUUCAUCCUGCGCCUACACACCCACCUCGUCCCAGGCCA